AUGCAAAUCUUGAGUCUCUCCUUCUAAGGUUUCUGCUAUAGAUGCAAGAAAAAAGAUCUUGGAGUUUUCUGUUUGUCUGAUGUGGCAGUCAAGAUUGAAUGGGGGAAUACAGGA
rnacentral:snoRNA from 1 species